CAUAGACUAUCGGAUCGGUGAACCAGCCCACCCCGUGAUCACGUCAGUUUCACCCGAGUCAACUAUGGGCACACCAUCCGCUUUGACAGUUGCUUAACAGACCGGCCCUAUCGCUUUAACUCAAUUACGCAUAUGGUUGGUGAUAUGUAGUAAAGCCGCUAUUAGAUCUAAUCUACGUUCAAAUGGACAAUAAUCAGACAGGAUCUGCAGUAUAAAGAGAAGGCUUGAUUCUUGCCCUGGGUCGGUGCCAACCCUACCCUCCUCUGGCCCGGCUCGGCCCGGCCUGCUAACCUGGUCAGGCUGGCCAGCCCCGGGGAGGCGCGUCAGAGCGCAGCUGUGUGUGUGCUCACACCGAGGGGAGCGGUGUGUGCGUGCCACUCAGCACCGGCCAAUCUCAGUCAGUGACACAGAUAUAUGACAGGGCUAAGCUAUCGGGAGCUAACGUCAUGCUCGCUUGACACAUUUUCUGCUUGGCUAGUGAGGAGACAUUUAGCGAGGAUAUGUAACCCACACUGGGCCUGGUGCAUGCAGAAAAGGUAGUACAUCUCAUCCUGGCUGUACACAGAGGCCUGGCUCUUACUGGGGCUGCUGAAAUACUUGGCCAUCUGACUUGGGUUGUUCUGGUCCUCUUCAAACUGCCGCCACUGGGUCAGCUGCGUGAAGGUGAAACAGCAUGUCAUGCUAACUUUUAGCUGUAGAUACAUUACACACACCAGUAGGAAAUGUAACCACGGUCAUUUGACACAGGGCCCUUGACCAGGUGUGUUUGAGCGUAUUGCUCACGACCCAGGUAUUUCCUUCCUUUCCACUGAAGAUGCAUUCCUUAUUGUAACAUAAACCCACUGCCAGACAGGUAGAGAGCCAUAAAACUGUUUGCAACAUCCUUUGUAGUUUUGACUCAUUCACACCUUCCGUGUGAGUCACAAUCCACUGAUAGACAUGUCAAAUUGUCACGCAUACAGAACAGAGGUGUGGGCACCAUAGUCACUGAUAGAAUUACUGCUUUUGUCAAAUCAAAGAGAGAAAGUCAUACAUCUGUCAUGUAUCUGUCUAUCUAGAGUUUUAGUCUGGUUGACUGUUUUUCCAUGUUUUCAGACAUAGUAUCUUAUAAUUAGAUGACAAUCCCCCUCCGUAGUGGUUUCUGCUUUAGAGAUACUCCAAAAGUGCCAGUGUCAUCAUUACCAAAAACAAGCAGAUGUCAGAGGAUAAAGAAGAAAUCUUGCACUUUAUCCAAAGCUUGCAACUAUAAACUUUUUUAGUUUUUGUUUGAUGCAUUUUGUAUGUGUGUCUUGAGUCAUUUUCCCUACCUGAGGCACAAACAGCAUGCAGUUGGUGGCAAGUGUGCAGAUGAAAAUGGCUCCAGCCACAGUGCUGUAGACAAGGUUGGGCCACGCCUGCAGAAAGAUGGACACAGGGACGGCCACCGCCGAAAAGAGGGUGACCAAAGUGACGGUUGUUAUGAUGGUGGGAGACUGGUUGACGGGAGGGUGGCUGACGUUGCUGGUCAGACCAGCUAGAUAAGUCCCAUAGAGGAGAAGACAACCCUAAGGAGAAAUGCGGGGACAAAGUAAACACAAAGGCCACAGAAAAUGUUAAUCAACAAAUCCAUAACAAGAAGGAACUCAAAGCAGUCUUUUUAAUUUUUUUCAUAAUUUCAAUAGAAUAGAGAUUACUUACCUUCUGAACAGCAAUGAUGAUAACCCAAAGAUCUGAGUAUACAGAGGAACAGGUGUCCAGCUGAGUCAAAGAGUAGGAAAUGUCUCUCUCCACCACCUAGAUCAGGAAAAACUGUAUCAUAGCUGAAACCUGAAUAUAUUUGGCUAUUCAUGAACAAGUCUAUAAUUAAAGCCAUAGUGCAUAGUUUCUGCCGCACCCCUGAGGAAUUCUUAGUAAUGACAACAAAACUGUUACCGCGUCCACAUGAUACAAGCCUUCCGUGACCAAGCGUAAACUGUUCUGAAAUCAAACAAAACAACCUGUUUUACAACUUGCUUUUCGGCUCCAAUUAAAUUCUACCUUGACAACAGCUCCGACAGAUCGUGAACACCGGAUGGGAUCUGUGAGGUUCCAGGCGGUGAGAACCAGCAUGUCCACCAUGAUCAACAGAGCCACCAUACCCAUCAGCUGGAUGUCUCUGAUGAUCUGAGACAGAAAAUAAAGUCACCAAUCAUGUCACUGUCAUACAGCUACCAAACAAAUUUAAUAAUUGUUUAGCAUUUUCAUCCAUAUCACUGGAAGACACCAGUUAGGAUACACUGUAAGGCUUUUAUGGAAGUGAUUCAUAAAAGAAAGUUCUAGAAAGGACAUAUAAGCAUGCAAUAAGGCUUGGGAAUGCUCUAAAUUGGUAAAUCCUCAAAAAUCAAUACAAAAUAAAAAUACAAAAAUAUUGGGAUAUAUGUGCCAGAAUUAUUUUUUUCUAAAUGACAGCAGUAGUUAGUGAAGAUUUUUUUUAAAAAUUUUUUCAAAUGAAUCCAAACCAAAAGCAAACAACUUUGGCCCAUGGCCUAAAUCUUCCCUGAUAUCUCAUAAGAUUAUUUUUGGAUAUCCUGUAAACUCUUAAAGAAACAUAGACACAAACAAGUGACAAAAUAUGGCAUCCUAGGUGGAUGGAAUAAGUAGAAGAUUUCACACACAACCACCAGGAGGCAGGGGGAGCAUGCCUACCACUCUCUUGUCAGGUACUCGCUGGGUGAACACUCUGUACAGUCUCCACGUCUUCCCCAAAAUUGGACCAAACACCAGAGUACUGCCGACACAAAGAGUCCACACCCGAGCCUGUAGGAAAGAGCGCUACAUUAUUAUCCAACAUUGAUUUAUUUAAGAAUAUAAUGAAGCAUUUACGGGAGACUGCGGGGCUUACUUGCAGCACGGCUGUGGAUGCUGCCCCUUGUGAGUGUGAUCGCUCGCCAAUGGCAAACAGGAAGCCGCUGCUGUAGGUGAGGACACUUCCAAAGAGAGUCAGGACAUUCAGGUUGGGACUGGACAUCUUCACUAUCCUGAUAAUACAACAUGUGCAAACAUACGCACAAUAGAUCAAUUCAUUCACUUCAUUCAACAUCUCUUUGGUGUUCAUGGAUGUGUCUGACGUUGUGGUCUACCUGUUGUUUUUGAAGCGCAGGGUGAAGAGCAGGAAGCAGAAAGCCAGCAGGAUUCCACCGGAGAGCAGCGUCCACACCACAGCACUUAACACCGGGGACAGAGACCGCCUUGGGAGCUCCACUGCCAUCUGCAAACACACGUGCAAACCCCUUCAAAUCAAGUCUAAAAUAUUACUGUGUAGCUCAUAUACAUGGGCCUUAUUUGAUUGCUUUUGAUGUUCUGAACCCUCAGUUCUGUAAAUGAUAGCCAAGCAAAGAACAACAAACAACAAAAAGAAGCUCACAGGAUUCAAAUAAGUAAACAAACUUUAUUAAAGCAAACAGAGCCACAAACAUCAUGCUGGACCUAUGCUAACAUUUUAUUUGAAAAUGACAAAAUGAUAAUGAGUAGUUGAAAGCAUGCAGGCAACAGGAAGGGAUAAAAAGCCCGAUUUCAGGCGUUGACAGGCAAGAUGAUCAGAGGAGCAGAGUUGACUCCGCCAUGAUUACGUCGAGGGUUAAAGUAGGGGAAAAGUUUUUCAUUGAAUGAGUAUCCAGUGAAUGAGUAGAUGUGUGAAGCAGAAUCCACGUCGUAAAAAGACACUUGCCCCCACUCCAUAUCUACAUACACCCCGAGUCUCUGGGGCUUCGCGACCAGCGGCACACGGGUAGGAGUGCUGCUGAGGGCCCAGUAGCUUUGGUCCUUUCUCAUCCCCAGGGCCCAGAAGCCUGUUUCAGGGUUUAAUGUAUUCCCUCCUUUUCUGUUGAUAGAUUGAAGCCCAACUCCAACAUCCCACUCUGUCUUGCCUUUCACCUGGACCUCAAAGUACAGCCUUCCAGAGGAGAAACCCUCCUUUCCCAAAACACUGACACCGGGAUAAAAUCUCUCUGGGUUGUCGGGGAGGUUCAGUGCUACAUCACUAUGAUGGACCUGUUUUUUGUUUUCAGACAGCAUCAAUUUGGGAUGAGCUGUAUGAGGGUCCAGAGUCACAUCCACAGCACACUGCUGAGCCCUCUGAAAUUCAAUCUCACAUAACCUCUUCACCUCAGCCUUUACUAUCUCCUCCAGCUGACACGCUACUCUCCUGACUGCUCUCCUCACCGUGCCCACAUACACAACACUCUCUACGCAGGUGUCAGACCAGUCUUUGGUUGCUGGCAGUGUGGAUAGAGCUGGAAAGCUCCAGAUAAGGUAGAGGUUGUCUUUGGUGUGGGAGAGCUGCUCCAGCUCAGCGUUUCUCUGUCUCAGCUCAUCGAUCUCCUGCUCCAGUCCCAUGAUAAGUCCCCUGGCCCUGCCUUCAACUUGCUUCUGCUUUGCACCAAUCAGCUCCACCACCUCAGCUUGACCUCUCUGGAGAAAGUGGAGCAGACUGCUGAAGACUUGCAAACUCUCCUCAAUCUCUCUUUCUGUGUUUGCUCUGCUGAGCUCAAUGGUUUGAUUGAUUUCGCUGAUUUUCUCAAGUCGAGCGUGGAUCAUUUCUUCCACCUCUGCAUUUAUCCUUCCAAUGUGAGCUUUCCUGUCUCUGCUCUCAUCCUCUAUAGGUACAGUGUGAUGACCACUGUGGUCUCUCUUAAUGCAGAUCUGGCACACAUACGUCUGGUCAGUUUUACAAAACAGGUGCAGGAGUUUUUCGUGCUUCUUACACACUCUGUUUUGCAUGCUCAUCAUGGGGUUGAUCAGGUGGUGGUUCUUGAAGGUGCCUAGAACAUGAUGGGGCUCCAGGUGAGUCCCACAGAAGGAGGCCAAACAGUCCAGGCACGAUUUAAGAGCCUGGACUCCUUUUCCAACACACACAUCACACAAAACAACAUCUUUAUGGCCUGAAUGUUGGGCCACGUUACUGGCUUCAUUUUCAUCUUUCUUUUUAAAUGACUUCUUGAACCAAGAAGCCACCUCCGAUAUGAAAGUGUUAACUUUGAGCUCAGGCCUCCUGCAGAACUUUUGCUUGCACAUGGGGCAUUGCGACAGAUUAGUGCUCUGCCAGUAUCCUUGUAAGCAGUCCUUGCAGAAGUUGUGCCCACAAGGAGUAGAGACUGGUUGGUUCAACAAAUCCAGACAGAUGGGGCAAAGAAGCUGCUCUUCAGUGAGCACACUGCCAGCAGUAGCCAUAUCUGUUAACACAUCCAGAAAGAAAAGCAGGUGGGAUUUUAUGAAAGAAGUUGGCUCUGGUCCUUGCAUGUUUUUCUUCCCACUAUACUGUCAGGGUUAGAAACAGUUGUGCCUGGUGGGCUGUUUACGUCCACAAAUAGUAACAUAUGCAUGGUGUUACAUUUCAAAGGAUAUUUCACUCUAGCUGAACCGUUUUCAUGUCCACUAAACUCAACAGACAAUAUU